AAAACGGGUAUCCAAGAUGCUUUGGGGUGUCUCAGGGGGAUAUCCCAGACCUGGCAGAAGCCACACAGGACCCACAGGAGACCUUGGCUCUUCUGCAGGGCAACUUGGAGAGGUGAAAUGAAACAUGGAGCUGGUGAAAAGCCUACACUGAGUAAUUCAGCUUAGAAACAGAGUUGUUGUUUCUAAUUCAGCUUAGAAACAGAGUUGUUGUUUCCUGCAGCGACGUUAACAGAAUGAAGUGGUGUCACCAAGUUAAAGAAGGAGAUCUUUGGAGCUGGCAGCCUUCAAAGUCAGCUCUGGGCAGCCUGACCUGUGCUGAUUUCAGUGCACUCAGGCUUUCUUGCUUUCUCCAGCCACCAACGAGCUCAGGGAUCAGAGCUGACCCAAAAGCUUUGGCAGAUGGGUGCCUGAGGAACAAUCUCCCCUCAGCUGUUCCCACCUGGGUUUUCAGAGCUGCUCACUUGGAGUUUGGCUGUCUCUGGAGCACGGGGACAGAGAAUUAGGACUUAUCUGGUCACACACAGCAUUAUGAGUUAGCUCCUUGCCAUCACAGGAGCCUCAGUUACUGAGGUUAUGUCCAUUCCUAUUUCCCAGAGGUUUGGUUGCCUGUGGAGAUGAAUGCUUGAGUUUUCAAAGUCACCUGGGAGAAUCUAAGAAAGAAGAAGUGACUUGCAAUUCCCAGCAAGACAAAUUAAAUUAUCUAAUCACCCCUUCUGGCCUCAAACCCCAUGAAACCAUAUGAAAAUAAUAGAAAAAGAACUUCCCUGUGUGACUGCUAACAAAAAGAAAUGUUUCUGGUUCAGCUGCAGAUAAUGAUUUUGACAUUGUCUCUGAACUCUUGGCUUUGCAGAUGUCAGAAGCUUAACAGCUUGAGGAAGUUCUGAUCUCUGAUUCCAGCUUUUAUCUGUGGAGGUGGGAGACAAGGAAGCACUAAGGGCAAAGCUGCCAGAAAAGGGCAGCUUGAGUCAGCAGCUUGCAGCCCUUCCACUGUGGUUGUAAUUGAUUUCAAGUCACAGCUUUCCAGGGGGAAAGCACCACCAAGCUGCCUCCACACCCUGGACUCUGCAGGAACUUGGGAGAAAUGUUGUCUCCAGGUUUUCUGGGACUGGGCUCUUCAGUGGAGGAAAGAACAGUAUAAGAAACCACUUGGUUUAAUAACAACUGUGAAAAAAAUGGCAUUCUGAAUUGCAGUGGAUAUUACAAAUCUGAUAUCUCAACAGAACAUGUAAAAAAUAAAUGAAAUUGUAACAUAA